rnacentral:misc_RNA from 1 species
GAAAUGCGAUAAUUAAUGUGAAUUGCAGAAUUCAGUGAAUCAUCGAGUCUUUGAACGCACAUUGCGCCCCCUGGUAUUCCGGGGGGCAUGCCUGUCCGAGCGUCAUUGCUGCCCUCAAGCACGGCUUGUGUGUUGGGCUUCCGUCCCUGGCAACGGGGACGGGCCCAAAAGGCAGUGGCGGCACCAUGUCUGGUCCUCGAGCGUAUGGGGUUUGUCACCCGCUCCCGUAGGUCCAGCUGGCAGCUAGCCUCGCAACCAAUCUUUUUAACCAGGUUGAUCUCGGAUCAGGUAGGGAUACCCGCUGAACUUAAGC